UUUUACCAACCAUUUAACUCUCUCUAAGGACCCCGUUCAGAGACACGGGCACGUUGAUGGGAGCUGUACAAAGGUCAGUGAUUUGGAGGCUCUUUUCGACAAUUUGCCAGGAUUUUGGCAUUUGUAAGCAUCCAUAGGACAGCUCUCUAGCAAGCUGACCUUGACAGCGAAUGGGAUAAAUAAACCUUCAAUUUACCCCCUCCAGCUCUCCGCGAGCUGGGCCAGUCCCCACGGAGCCUUCACCUGUCCAUAUCGUUCAACUGCCUGCAACUUCCAACUGACGAACAUCCACAGCUCCGCGGCCCAGUGACAAACACCAUCUAACAGAUAAGCCUUCUGAAAAGUCAAAGCCAAUACUGCUUCCAUUGAAAAUUUAAUGCCAGCUCCAUCUUUGCCCAUCAUUCUUCCGACUGUUCCAUGUUUCCCAAGAGGCCCUUGAAGCUAAAGCACUGCUCUAUAACAGGUUAAACGAUGGGAUUAAACAGUGAAGAGUGCCAGAGCGGAGGAAGAACUACAAAGAAACUGCAAUGAUGCUUCUUCCAAUGUGUUGUCCAGGAUGUCCAGUGAAUGUCCUCCACCUCUGAGCCAUAUGGCCAAAGUUACGUGGCUGAGUAGGGCUCAUGGACGUGUUUCAUCUGACAGAGCCUCUCAAGCUUCCAGCUCCAGUUGCACUGGACACCCUCACAGCCCUUCUGCAGAGCUGGGAAUGGCCAAAUCCUGCAGGCCCACUCAUGUCCCUGCAAGAAUCCUGAUGUUGGGAGAGAAAGCAUGCAUGUUCCCUCCUUUGCUGCUCCCCAAACGAAAGGCCACCUGCAGCCUUAUAUUUGCAAGAAACUCAUGCUGAGCAUCUGAGCCUAGGAAGACACAGAGUCCUGUCCUCCAACAGCCAGCUCUCAGGCCUUCUCGAACCUCUCCCUUCCCUGCCAGAUGUGACCUUGUACUCUGGAUGCCUGUGGUUUGGCUUUCUCCUCCUCACAAACAUGGAUGCUGUCCUUCUAGCAGAGGGAUUGAUGUGUUUAUGCAUGUAUCAUACCUUCCCCUCUGAGGAUGGGGGCAUGCCUUGCCCAAAGCACCCAGCCAGGGCUGAGCACAGGGACUCAACUAGGAGGAUUUUUGCUGACUGAUAAGUCCCCACUGGACAGGUCUGAGGGUUCUCCCCAAACCAUGCACUCUGGCAGUGGGCUAGUCUGACCACCUCCCCCGCCGUGUGUGUGAGACCCGCUGGUGGGCACUGUACACAGCAUGGACGUGGAAGACAAGCCUGGAAGUGAUGACUCUGCUGGAGUGAGCAGCACCACAACACAGAGCAGAUCGCUGGAGGGAAAGAUCACCUGGGGCGGCACUCCAGGGUGGAGUCAGGAGGACAUGGAGUUUUGGAGGCACACAGACAGCCCCGGAAGGCAAAAGUGUUCAUCAAGCAACCUCUGACUCAAGGAUAUCCCUGGACCACACCCCUGGGAGUGAGUGCACCAGGGAGUCACAUUAAUCCCAUAAACCCUGUUGUUGUCCUGUGACUGGCACCAUUCAUGCAUGGCAGUUUUAUACAUUAAAAAUGUCUAUGUUUUGGAGCCAAGUGAA
rnacentral:lncRNA from 1 species